rnacentral:rRNA from 1 species
AGAGUUUGAUCAUGGCUCAGGAUGAACGCUAGCGACAGGCCUAACACAUGCAAGUCGAGGGGCAGCGGGAGGUAGCAAUACUUCUGCCGGCGACCGGCGCACGGGUGCGUAACAGGUGUGCAAUCUGUCCAUAGUCGGGGGAUAGCCCGGCGAAAAGCCGAAUUAAUACUCCAUGUGUCAUUUAGCCGCAUGACUGGAUGAUGAAACGUAAGGACUAUGGGUGAGCACGCUUCUGAUUAGGUAGUUGGUGAGGUAACGGCCCACCAAGCCGACGAUCAGUAGGGGUUCUGAGAGGAAGGUCCCCCACAUUGGAACUGAGACACGGUCCAAACUCCUACGGGAGGCAGCAGUGAGGAAUAUUGGUCAAUGGACGAGAGUCUGAACCAGCCAAGUCGCCGUGAAGGAUGAAGGUUCUAUGGAUUGUAAACUUCUUUUGUCCGAGGGUAAAGUCGGGGACGUGUCCCCGUUGGCAAGUAUCGGACGAAUAAGCAUCGGCUAACUCCGUGCCAGCAGCCGC